rnacentral:rRNA from 1 species
UACGUAGGGUGCAAGCGUUGUCCGGAAUUAUUGGGCGUAAAGAGCUCGUAGGCGGCUUGUCGCGUCUGCUGUGAAAACUCGGGGCUUAACUCCGGGCCUGCAGUGGGUACGGGCAGGCUAGAGUGCGGUAGGGGAGAGUGGAAUUCCUGGUGUAGCGGUGAAAUGCGCAGAUAUCAGGAGGAACACCAGUGGCGAAGGCGGGUCUCUGGGCCGUAACUGACGCUGAGGAGCGAAAGCGUGGGGAGCGAACAGG